rnacentral:rRNA from 1 species
GACGAACGCUGGCGGCGUGCUUAACACAUGCAAGUCGAACGGAAAGGCCCUGCUUUUGUGGGGUGCUCGAGUGGCGAACGGGUGAGUAACACGUGAGUAACCUGCCCUUGACUUUGGGAUAACUUCAGGAAACUGGGGCUAAUACCGGAUAGGAGCUCCUGCUGCAUGGUGGGGUUGGAAAGUUUCGGCGGUUGGGGAUGGACUCGCGGCUUAUCAGCUUGUUGGUGGGGUAGUGGCUUACCAAGGCUUUGACGGGUAGCCGGCCUGAGAGGGUGACCGGCCACAUUGGGACUGAGAUACGGCCCAGACUCCUACGGGAGGCAGCAGUGGGGAGUAUUGCACAGUGGGCGGAAGCCUGAUGCAGCAACGCCGCGUGCGGGAUGACGGCCUUCGGGUUGUAAACCGCUUUCGCCUGUGACGAAGCGUGAGUGACGGUAAUGGGUAAAGAAGCACCGGCUAACUACGUG